AUUGAACGCUGGCGGCAUGCCUUACACAUGCAAGUCGAACGGUAACGCGGGGCAACCUGGCGACGAGUGGCGAACGGGUGAGUAAUACAUCGGAACGCGCCCAGUAGUGGGGGAUAGCCCGGCGAAAGCCGGAUUAAUACCGCAUACGACCUACGGGUGAAAGCGGGGGAUCGCAAGACCUCGCGCUAUUGGAGCGGCCGAUGUCAGAUUAGCUAGUUGGUGGGGUAAAAGCCUACCAAGGCGACGAUCUGUAGCUGGUCUGAGAGGACGACCAGCCACACUGGACUGAGACACGGCCCAGGCUCCUACGGGAGGCAGCAGUGGGGAAUUUUGGACAAUGGGGGGCAACCCUGAUCCAGCCAUGCCGCGUGCGGGAAGAAGGCCUUCGGGUUGUAACCGCUUUGUCUAGGGAAGAAACGGUACUGCGCUAUACCGCGG
rnacentral:rRNA from 1 species